UAAGCAGCAAGAAGAAACCAGACCACACCUUCAAUACUUUGCUUGGAAAUCUCAGCUUCACGUGCAAGUUCAUCAUUCAUAAAAGUGCUUUCUGCAUAACUGAGGUUUGAAAAUGAUUCUGCACUCGCUCUCCCCUCUCCUUCAGAUGUAUAAGACAGAGUCCCAGCCAGCUAGGAAGACUGUUGGAAGCGUCAUAUAGUCAUUUUGCACUGGGAUCUUCAAAUUACCUUCGUGGUCCUGCCAAGAGGAAAAAUUGUCUCUAGAGAUACUCGGCUGAGUUACAGAGGUUCUCCAAGGCUGAGUGACUGUGGUUUCCACUGUAAGAUCUGAUCUACAGAGAAGAGCAAUUAUGAAGCUCUUUAAGGAUGCUGGGGAUCCCCUCACAAAUUUAUUUCUCAAAGUAUCAGUGAAAGGUGUGUCUUCUGGACCCUCCCAGUGAGGACUAAUGUCUGUGAAAUAGCCAACAUAGAAACCAGCUGGGAACCUAACUGGCAUCACAAGUUCCACUCAGAUUAACAUUUCAAAAAUGACACCAUAUGGUGGAGAGCUUUGGGUUUUAUGACAAAGAAACAGAACGAAUGCUGGACAUCGCAAACCCGCCUAGACUGUGUUGUCGUGCACUGGAG
rnacentral:lncRNA from 1 species